rfam:Ovis aries breed Texel chromosome 3, whole genome shotgun sequence.
UCCCUGGUGGUCCAGUGGUUAAGACUCCACACUGCCAAUGCAGGGGGCCCCAGGUUCAAUCCCUGGUCAGAGAA